rnacentral:rRNA from 1 species
AAAACGACUCUCGGCAACGGAUAUCUAGGCUCUCGCAUCGAUGAAGAACGUAGCUGAUAGCGAUACUUGGUGUGAAUUGCAGAAUCCCGCGAAUCAUCGAGUUUUUGAACGCAAGUUGCGCCCGAAGCCUUUCGGCCGAGGGCACGUCUGCCUGGGUGUCACGC